UACGGAGGGUGCAAGCGUUAUCCGGAUUCACUGGGGUUAAAGGGUGCGUAGGUGGGUCUGUAAGUCCGUGGUGAAAUCUCCGAGCUUAACUUGGAAACUGCCAUGGAUACUAUAGGUCUUGAAUACUGUGGAGGUCAGCGGAAUAUGUCAUGUAGCGGUGAAAUGCUUAGAUAUGACAUAGAACACCAAUUGCGAAGGCAGCUGGCUACACAAAUAUUGACACUGAGGCACGAAAGCGUGGGGAUCAAACAGG
rnacentral:rRNA from 1 species